GACACCUACGGGUGGCUGCAGUCGAGAAUCUUCCGCAAUGCGCGAAACCUGACGCAGCGACGCCGCGUGAGUGAUGAAGGCCUUCGGGUUGUAAACCUCUGUCCUCAGGGACGAAGGUUUGACCGGUACUAGGACGAAGCACAGGCUAAGUUCGUGCCUAGCAGCCGCGGUAAUACGUAGGUCGCAAGCGUUGUCCGGAAUUAUUGGGCGUAAAGAGCACGUAGGCGGAUUUGUAGGUCAGAUGUGAAAGCCCACGGCUCAACCGUGGAAUUGCGUUUGAAACCACAAGUCUUGAGGAAGUCAGAGGUAUGCGGAACU
rnacentral:rRNA from 1 species